AGCUUUGUGCAGUGGCAGUAUCAUAGCCAAUGAGGUUUAUCUGAGGUACGAUUAUUGCUAAUUGAAAAUCAUGCUGA
rnacentral:snRNA from 1 species